GCGGCGUGCGGUGGCGGAGGUGGAGCACGUUGGUCGGCGGCGGAGCCCUGCGCGGCGCGUCCGACCUGCACCGGACGUGCUCUGCCCCUUCGAUUGCAGCACCCCGCUCUGCCCCUUCGUCUGCAACUUGUCCUUGUGAGCGCCAGAGGUGAAAAAGGUGCAGUUGGUCUCUGCCAUGGACAACUACCAAAGCUCGUUGCGAAAUUUCUGGAUGAUGGAGGAGGAAGACGAUGACAUGCAUUUCUUGCUUGAUGAUGAUGAAGCGGAGGUGGCGACAUACAAUCUCCUGGUGGAAGCAGAGAGCUCUCGCACGCAUCGUCGAAGUGAUGGUCCUCCAAAGGUUAUUCGGCGAGGGACCUUCCUUCUGGUCAUAAGAGGAUCAAAGCCGACUACUUCGUACCAAAUCCAGUGUACAACGACAAGCAAUUCCGUCGAAGAUUUCGGAUGCGUCGUCCUUUAUUCAAGCGCAUUAAAGAGGCUGUAAAAAAUCAUGAUGACUACUUCAAAAAGAAAUGCGAUGCCACUGGCAAGGAAGGACUAUCGGCUCUCCAAAAGUGUGUCGCGUCAAUGCGCAUUCUUGCUUACGGACUCCCGGCGGAUGCUGUUGACGAGUACGUGCGUAUCGGUGAUUCAACUGCUAGACAAGCUUUGAAUCAUUUCUGUCAGGCUGUCAUUGAAGUUUUUGGCGAGCAGUACCUACGGGCACCCAACGAAGCCGAUGUAGCUAGGCUUCUUCAAGAGGGGCAGAAUCGUGGGUUCCCGGGGAUGCUAGGCAGCAUAGAUUGCAUGCACUGGGAGUGGAGGAAUUGCCCAAGGGUCAGUUCACGGGCAGAGGGAAGCAUCCAACUAUGAUUUUAGAGGCUGUUGCAUCGCAUGAUCUAUGGAAAUGGCAUGCUUACUUUGGCAUGCCGGGGAGUAACAAUGACAUUAAUGUUCUUCAUAGAUCCCCUAUGUUCUCUAGUUACCUAAGGGGUCGUUCAACCCCUGUGUCGUUUGCAGUGAAUGGAAGGACAUAUAACAUGGGCUAUUACCUUGCGGAUGGGAUUUACCCUGAGUGGGCAGCAUUUGUUAAGACUAUUCGUCACCCCAUGGAGCAAAAGAUGCGGCAUUUUGCAGCUCAACAGGAAAGUGCGCGCAAGGAUAUAGAGCGUGCAUUUGGUGUGCUACAAACUCGGUUUGCCGUGAUCAGAGGACCCGCAUAUGGCUGGGACCGUAGCCAGAUUAAUGAUAUAAUGAUGACUUGUGUUAUUUUGCAUAACAUGGUAGUGGAAGAUGAAGGAGCCCAUGCUCGUAAUGUUGAUUUCUUGAACAUAGGACAACUAGCUGUUCCGUACAGCAACAACCCAGACAGGGAGGCAUUUGUUGCUGCACACCAUAGGCUUCAUGACCGAAACACGCACUAUCAACUACAAUAUGAUCUCAUCGAGCACCAGUGGAUGAGACUGGGAUCUGCUCAACAGUAGAUGCUCAACAGCUACAAUAUGUUUUCUCCCUGGUUAUCUUGUCAUGGCAGAAGAUGUUCGAGGUCUCCUUUUCAGAUUACUUUUGUUUUCAGACUUUUGGGUAAUGAUCUAUGGUUCACUGCACACAGUUUGGAUUUUACAACCGACAAGCUCAUGGAGGUAACUACUCUAAGAAGAUGUUGGGACCAAGCUGGAGAGGCCUGCUGACACCGAUGAAGCCAUGGCUGGACAGGAGGUCGCUGCUGGCGAGUGAUGAUGCUUUCUUUUGGGUUACUUCUGUCGUUUGUGUUUCUAGAACCUAUCUUGUAAGGUGGUGAUAUGAACUUCGAGUCAAUGUUUGAUUCCAGCUUUGCGCCACACUUUUGUCAGAAGCUGUUCUGUGGCUGCAUGUUUAAGUAUGAAAACUGAAGAAUAUUUGCAUCGAGUUUUAUCA